GAAAUACAAGUAAACAAGAAAACCAUUAUUUUAAAAUACUUGUCCGUCAACAAAGCAACACAUCAAAACACUCUAUUUUUCCUGGCGGUCUUUUCAACUGAAAACUUAUAGUACAAUUUAUAAAGCGCGCGCAAUGCAUUAGCAACCUAAAGAAACGAGCCUAUUCUCCACUUUGGAGCGAGAACUACGUUUCUUAUAUUGUUAAGCCCCUAAUCCAAGAUAUUUUAGGCAGAAAAUGGUUUCUUUUUUGUUGUUUUUUUCUGCAUCGAGUAUUCUUGGACUAUUGUUGCUUAUAUUCAAAGUGGCUUCGCGGUUUUUUUGUUUUGUUUUUCUCUUUUUCGCAAUAUUUCUUUUUUCCCACUUUGAUUUGAUUUCCUGUAAGUAUUUUUCAGCAGGAAAACAGAUUUCAUUUUCCCGUUGUGUUAAAUACUUACAGAAAGUUACUGGCGCAAAAGUAUGACGAUAAUGAAUUAUAGCUUUAUAAUAUACAUGGGAAACGAAGCAAAAGCUGCGCCCUAUUUCUAGCUGCCUAACCUUCCUAACUAAUGCGCGCGCGCACAUACCCUUUCAAAAACCUGCAAGGGAAACCUCCGAAUGUGGAGUCUCGGUCAUGCCCCUAGCUUAACUUAACCUAGUGUGCCAUCGCACCUGGUGAGCUUCCACAAACAGGGGUAAGGUUUGCAUGCCUUAUGUUAAUUGUCUUCCAUGAUAUCGUUGAAUCGCCAAAACAGAGAGGGGACCUAAUCUCUGGUAGCGAACUGUUUUCAUAUAACUCGGGGCAGAAAACUAACGUUCGAAACCAGCGAUAUACAUGCACGACGGCCUAGACUGGCCUAGACUGUUUAUCAUUACAAUAAUUAGGUCAUUUCAGGCCUAAUCUGAUCUUUUUGUAGGUGGAAACCAGAGUACCCGGAGAGAACCCACAUCUUUCAAGAUCUUGUCCAAAAAUGAUCCACUACGAUAUCCACCAAUCUUCUUACGGGUACCAUUUGCACCCUCUAAGCUAUGGAUACCAUUUUCAUCCAGUUUAGUUAUCCUACCCAAGCAAAACUAUGCCAGCUUUUAAACUAACAAAAUUUUGCCUACACUCAUAUAUUACGUACACAAAUAUACAGAUCAUGUAAUGGAUUAAGGUUAAGGCUAUAGGGUUAGAUUAAACCCCAAGCCAAAGCCUAACACAUUUCAUGGUAUUUCUAAACAUUUAUGAACAUAACAUAUUGAUAUAAACAAAACUUUUAAGUCUGGCAAGGCUUAUACUCGUCUGCCUAUAUUCUGGAUACUAGCUGCGCGUUGCGUUUAUCCAUGCACAGACACGGAGACACCUAAGCAGUACAUUUACACAAAGAGAAGAACAUUGACACGAACAGAACACAAAUAGCUAGUGGGUCUCACUACGAGUUACCAGAGUGAAAAAAGAAUGUUCACUCUUUUUUACUUUAUGUAGUAGUCUUGUAUUUGAAGCAAAUACAUUGCUCCACCAAGUAUUUGAAGCAAAUAAAUUGCUCCAUCGUCUGGACCGUAACACUUAUUGAAACCCACCAAUAACCGAACCGAGUGCAUGCAAAUAACCACGUGACACGUGACUUUCGAUUGCAGAUGAUGUCGAAAUUCUGAUUAACUGAGGUCAAAAUUGUACCUCAAUAUUUAUUAACAUGCAAGCAUCUGAAUAAAAAUCAACCUUCCGUGCAAAUGUACUACUAACGACAGACCGCCAGGAAUUGUAAAUCGGUUAACCGAAAGACUUUACCGACCACAUGCAGAUAAUCCUAAAGAUAUACUGCCUGUUAGCAGGCUAACUACUGCCUGAUAGCAGGCUAACUACCAGACUAAUAAUCAAAACCCUCUAACCUCGAGGCAGUCAUCUCGUUGCCGUCGUGCAGCUUUCGUAGUCAAGGUACAUUGGUAGGUAACCGUCGAUUGCGAGGUACAUGUUAUCCAUAAAUGUUCAUAAUUAUCCAUAUAAGUUCACAAUAUCUCCAAUAGUACACAGUGGCAAUGCAGUAAUCCGUAUUUAUCCAUUGGUAUCCGCUACGACGCGUACUGGACCCUCCCAUCCGACACCUCAAAUGCGGUUUUGGUCAGUUUUAAAUUUUUUUUUGUCAAUAUUUUUAAUACAAUUAUAGUAUCUGUGAGAAAC